rnacentral:rRNA from 1 species
GACGAACGCUGGCGGCAUGCCUAAUACAUGCAAGUCGAGCGAACAGAUGAAGUGCUUGCACUUCUGACGUUAGCGGCGAACGGGUGAGUAACACGUAAGGAAUCUACCUAUAAGCGGGGGAUAACAUUCGGAAACGGGUGCUAAUACCGCAUAAUAUCUUCUUCCGCAUGGAAGAAGAUUGAAAGACGGCUCUGCUGUCACUUAUAGAUGACCUUGCGGUGCAUUAGUUAGUUGGUGGGGUAACGGCCUACCAAGAAGAUGAUGCAUAGCCGACCUGAGAGGGUGAUCGGCCACAUUGGGACUGAGACACGGCCCAAACUCCUACGGGAGGCAGCAGUAGGGAAUCUUCCGCAAUGGGCGAAAGCCUGACUGAGCAAUGCCGCGUGAGUGAAGAAGGCCUUCGGGUCGUAAAACUCUGUUAUAAGAGAAGAACAAAUUGUAGAGUAACUGCUACAGUCUUGACGGUAUCUUAUCAGAAAGCCACGGCUAACUACGUGCCAGCCGCCGCAGUAA